rnacentral:rRNA from 1 species
AGUGAACGCUGGCGGUAGGCCUAACACAUGCAAGUCGAACGGCAGCACAGUAAGAGCUUGCUCUUACGGGUGGCGAGUGGCGGACGGGUGAGGAAUACAUCGGAAUCUACUUUUUCGUGGGGGAUAACGUAGGGAAACUUACGCUAAUACCGCAUACGACCUACGGGUGAAAGCAGGGGAUCUUCGGACCUUGCGCGAUUGAAUGAGCCGAUGUCGGAUUAGCUAGUUGGCGGGGUAAAGGCCCACCAAGGCGACGAUCCGUAGCUGGUCUGAGAGGAUGAGCAGCCACACUGGAACGGAGAGACGGUCUAGACUCCUACGGGAGGCAGCAGUGGGGAAUAUUGGACAAUGGGCGCAAGCCUGAUCCAGCCAUACCGCGUGGGUGAAGAAGGCCGUCGGGUUGUAAAGCGCUUUUGUUGGGAAAGAAAAGCAGCAGGUUAAUACCCCGCUGUUCUGACGGUACCCAAAGAAUAAGCACCGGCUAACUUCGUG